rnacentral:lncRNA from 7 species
ACUGGCUGAGCUGCCCAAACACAGCCCGAAGGCCCAAACAAGGCUUUCCAUCACCAAGUCUGCAGCAAAUCAGAUGGACAGAGGUUGCACAUGGGUUUUUCCUACUUUACUUUUCAGAUUUAAUUUUGAUACAAUUAGAUUGCACACGCAUCUGCAACUGUUACAUGAUUUGAAAGUUGCAGGCAUACUUAGAAGCAAAUAUCUCUGCCACCAUCAUUUUCACCUACCUUCUUUGGCAGCAGCCCUUCAGCCUCCCCAAUGAAGACCUCUGAUUCAUCCUUACCCAUCCAGCACCCCCUGGUCUGGCUGCACCCCAGCACUGAGCUUCUGCCCUUCUUGGCUAGCUGUGCCCAGUGGCAUCAAGUAGAGGACAUUUUCCUCCUCCUGAGCUUCUCAUCAAUGAAAUAACAAGUCUUACAGCAAGGGUCGUGCUACAGCCUGCAUCUGCAACGUGAUGACAGCUGUGCAAAAGCUGUGGUUGGAAGGUAUCAAUGCAAACACUGCAGUGGUGAAAAUGGGGCAGGACCUGUUACGCCAAGCAUACCCCAAACCCAUGGAGAUCAUAUGCAGCCUGAAUUGCAGGAGGAAGCCCCAAAACCCGUGAUGAACCUUGAAAAUCUGUGAGCAAAGGGCUGGGUUACAUGAAGAUGAGUGACCCAACCAAGGGAGAAUCAUAGCCCAGUGCUGCAUAUCCAGCUCCUGGACACAGCAAAUUGCUGCCGGUGCCCAAGAGACAUUGGGAAUGGAAGAAUAAGGUGUGUGAAGUGGGUACUGCGUGUUGAGGGUGGGAUCACCAUGGAGAUCUGGCCAGGUCUUCCAGCCAGGAGUUCAAGGUGCCCUUGAACCUUGUGGAAAUGACCAUGUGCAUGCCUCCCUGGGCUUUCCCUGGGCCAAGCCUUUCCCACCAUGUUGGAUCUCCACGGAGAAGACCAAGCUCUGGUCUGAUGAUGACUGCUCUGAUUUCUCCUACCUGGGAGCCAGGAACCAAGGGAAUCUCAUUAAAAAAUGCUGAACUGUGGAAGAAAUCCAAGCAGUGAAAUAAAUGGAGAAGGAUGGUGGCCAUCUGCGGUCCUGAUCUUCGAAGCCAUAUAGUCAGGACUCCAAACCAACUUCUCUAUUUCACCUGCAUACCACUGGCUUUGAAACAGUGCUGGUGGUUCCGGACCCAUUUUCUGUUUCUCAGUGCAUUAUGCCUUUCUUCAACUCCUUUAAAGCAUGGAUCCUUGUUCUUGGUACUCACGGUAUAAAGGGAGUAUGGUUUAGAGCCUGCUCAAUUCCACUG